rnacentral:rRNA from 1 species
UUGAACGCUGGCGGCAGGCCUAACACAUGCAAGUCGAGCGGUAGCACAGAGAGCUUGCUCUCGGGUGACGAGCGGCGGACGGGUGAGUAAUGUCUGGGAAACUGCCUGAUGGAGGGGGAUAACUACUGGAAACGGUAGCUAAUACCGCAUAACAUCGCAAGACCAAAGUGGGGGACCUUCGGGCCUCAUGCCAUCAGAUGUGCCCAGAUGGGAUUAGCUAGUAGGUGGGGUAACGGCUCACCUAGGCGACGAUCCCUAGCUGGUCUGAGAGGAUGACCAGCCACACUGGAACUGAGACACGGUCCAGACUCCUACGGGAGGCAGCAGUGGGGAAUAUUGCACAAUGGGCGCAAGCCUGAUGCAGCCAUGCCGCGUGUGUGAAGAAGGCCUUCGGGUUGUAAAGCACUUUCAGCGGGGAGGAAGGCGAUAAGGUUAAUAACCUUGUCGAUUGACGUUACCCGCAGAAGAAGCACCGGCUAACUCCGUGCCAGCAGCCGCGGUAAUACGGAGGGUGCAAGCGUUAAUCGGAAUUACUGGGCGUAAAGCGCACGCAGGCGGUCUGUCAAGUCGGAUGUGAAAUCCCCGGGCUCAACCUGGGAACUGCAUUCGAAACUGGCAGGCUAGAGUCUUGUAGAGGGGGGUAGAAUUCCAGGUGUAGCGGUGAAAUGCGUAGAGAUCUGGAGGAAUACCGGUGGCGAAGGCGGCCCCCUGGACAAAGACUGACGCUCAGGUGCGAAAGCGUGGGGAGCAAACAGGAUUAGAUACCCUGGUAGUCCACGCCGUAAACGAUGUCGAUUUGGAGGUUGUGCCCUUGAGGCGUGGCUUCCGGAGCUAACGCGUUAAAUCGACCGCCUGGGGAGUACGGCCGCAAGGUUAAAACUCAAAUGAAUUGACGGGGGCCCGCACAAGCGGUGGAGCAUGUGGUUUAAUUCGAUGCAACGCGAAGAACCUUACCUGGUCUUGACAUCCACAGAACUUUCCAGAGAUGGAUUGGUGCCUUCGGGAACUGUGAGACAGGUGCUGCAUGGCUGUCGUCAGCUCGUGUUGUGAAAUGUUGGGUUAAGUCCCGCAACGAGCGCAACCCUUAUCCUUUGUUGCCAGCGGUUAGGCCGGGAACUCAAAGGAGACUGCCAGUGAUAAACUGGAGGAAGGUGGGGAUGACGUCAAGUCAUCAUGGCCCUUACGACCAGGGCUACACACGUGCUACAAUGGCAUAUACAAAGAGAAGCGACCUCGCGAGAGCAAGCGGACCUCAUAAAGUAUGUCGUAGUCCGGAUUGGAGUCUGCAACUCGACUCCAUGAAGUCGGAAUCGCUAGUAAUCGUAGAUCAGAAUGCUACGGUGAAUACGUUCCCGGGCCUUGUACACACCGCCCGUCACACCAUGGGAGUGGGUUGCAAAAGAAGUAGGUAGCUUAACCUUCGGGAGGGCGCUUACCACUUUGUGAUUCAUGACUGGGGUG